rnacentral:rRNA from 1 species
GAUGAACGCUGGCGGCGUGCCUAAUACAUGCCAGUCGAGCGAACAGACGAGGAGCUUGCUCCUCUGACGUUAGCGGCGGACGGGUGAGUAACACGUGGAUAACCUACCUAUAAGACUGGGAUAACUUCGGGAAACCGGAGCUAAUACCGGAUAAUAUAUUGAACCGCAUGGUUCAAUAGUGAAAGACGGUUUUGCUGUCACUUAUAGAUGGAUCCGCGCCGCAUUAGCUAGUUGGUAAGGUAACGGCUUACCAAGGCAACGAUGCGUAGCCGACCUGAGAGGGUGAUCGGCCACACUGGAGCUGAGACACGGUCCAGACUCCUACGGGAGGCAGCAGUAGGGAAUCUUCCGCAAUGGGCGAAAGCCUGACGGAGCAACGCCGCGUGAGUGAUGAAGGUCUUCGGAUCGUAAAACUCUGUUAUUAGGGAAGAACAAAUGUGUAAGUAACUAUGCACGUCUUGACGGUACCUAAUCAGAAAGCCACGGCUAACUACGUG